UGGGGAAUCUUCGACAAUGGGGGAAACCCUGAUCUAGCCAUGCCGCGUGAGUGACGAAGGCCCUAGGGUCGUAAAGCUCUUUCGCCAGGGAAGAUGAUGACAUUACCCGGAGAAGAAGCGCCGGCUAACUCCGUGCCAGCAGCCGGGGUAAGACGGAGGGCGCUAGCGUUGUUCGGAAUCACUGGGCGUAAAGGGCGCGUAGGCGGCUGUUUAAGUCGAGGGUGAAAGCCCGGGGCUCAACCCCGGAACGGCCUCCGAGACUGGGCAGCUCGAGACCGGAAGAGGAGGGUGGAAUACCCAGUGUAGAGGUGAAAUUCGUAGAUAUUGGGUGGAACACCAGUGGCGAAAGCGGCUCUCUGGUCCGGAUCUGACGCUGAGGCGCGAAAGCGUGGGGAGCAAACAGGAUUAGAUACCCCCGUAGUCC
rnacentral:rRNA from 1 species